rnacentral:sRNA from 1 species
GCCACAGAGCGUCACCAUCGAGAUGUUGUAGAGUUACUUAUCAAAUAUGGAGCUGAUGUCCAUGCUUUCAGCAAAUUUGAUAAAUCAGCCUUUGACAUAGCUCUGGAGAAAAACAAUGCUGAGAUUUUGGUCAUCCUCCAGGAAGCAAUGCAGAAUCAGGUGAAUGUUAAUCCAGAGAGAGCCAACCCUGUGACUGACCCUGUGAGUAUGGCUGCUCCAUUCAUCUUCACGUCAGGUGAGGUUGUUAACCUCGCAAGCCUUAUUUCUUCAACCAACACCAAAACAACCUCAGCCAAUUCAGAGGAAAUUAUAGAAGGAAAUUCCGUUGACUCAUCAAUCCAGCAAGUAAUGGGGAAUGGAGGCCAGAGGGUCAUCACCAUAGUGACUGAUGGAGUCCCUCUGGGUAAUAUCCAAACUUCAAUCCCUACUGGAGGCAUUGGCCAGCCAUUUAUUGUAACUGUGCAAGAUGGACAGCAAGGAAGGCAAUGAAAGAGAGCUACUACAGCAACAACUCCAGGAGGCCAAUCGAAGAGCCCAGGAAUACCGACACCAGCUCCUAAAGAAAGAGCAGGAAGCAGAACAGUACCGUCUUAAGCUGGAGGCCAUAGCCCGACAGCAGCCCAAUGGAGUUGAUUUCACCAUGGUUGAAGAGGUGGCUGAGGUAGAUGCUGUAGUAGUCACAGAGGGGGAGUUGGAAGAGAGAGAGACAAAAGUGACUGGGUCAGCAGGGACCACAGAGCCUCACACUAGAGUUUCCAUGGCAACUGUUUCAUCUUAGUAUGCAAGGGCCACAAUUUGCACUGUGUUCAUAUUAAUCCUCUUUUAAAAAAGAAAAUAUACAGAAGACAAACAUUGUAUAAAAACUAAGAGUGUCUUUAAGAAGAAAACUAUAGCAGGGUACAAUGCUUGGGCUCAGGAAGUUUCUCUGUGCAACUGGAAAAUUCAAAGCCAUAUUUAGGGAACAUUUUUUCUGAGGGGCCAAAAGAAUAAGGACCAAAUUUCUUAGCUCAUAUCAU